AGACUCUGUGCGCGUGCAUAUCAAUAAGCGGAGGAAAAGAAACUAACUAGGAUUCCCUUAGUAACGGCGAGUGAAGCGGGAAGAGCUCAAAUUUGAAAUCUUCAAGGUUCUACCUUGACGAAUUGUAGUUUAAAGAAGUGUUUUCUGUUGGAGUUUUGGUAAAAGUUCUUUGGAAUAGGACAUCAUAGAGGGUGAGAAUCCCGUAUUUGACCAUUACUUUCCAGCUUUGUGAUACACUUUCAAAGAGUCGGAUUGUUUGGGAAUGCAGUCCAAAAUGGGUGGUAAAUUUCAUCUAAAGCUAAAUAUUGGCGAGAGACCGAUAGCGAACAAGUACCGUGAGGGAAAGAUGAAAAGAACUUUGAAAAGAGAGUUAAACAGUAGGUGAAAUUGUCAAAAGGGAAGCGUUUGACACCAGUGUUGUUUUUCCGAAAAUCAAUUACGAAUGUUUUGUUUUUGAGGAGUUAUGACUUCAUCGGCUUGCUCCUUUCUUUACGAAACUUUCUUAAUGCACUUUUCGGUUAACAAGUCAACAUCAAUUUCUUUUGUUGUAAAAGGGUAUGAGGAAGGUGGCUUUCUUUUCGGAGAAAGUGUUUAUAGCCUUGUGCCUCUGCAAUCGGAGAGAUUGAGGUCUGCAGCGUAGAUCCUUCGGGGUUAGAUACGUUUGUGCUAAGUUAUAGCUUUUCAUAGACAACUUGUUGACUAUGUUUAGUCUUGUAGCUUACUCGCUUACGCUAUUUUACCUACGCUUAGGAUGUUGAACUCUAUCACACACAG
rnacentral:rRNA from 1 species